rnacentral:rRNA from 1 species
AACAAACGCUGGCGGCGUGCCUAAUACAUGCAAGUCGAACGGGGAAAGCCUUCGGGUGAGUACUAGUGGCGCACGGGUGAGUAACACGUGGGUAAUCUGCUUUAGAGUGGGGGAUAACCAGUCGAAAGAUUGGCUAAUACCGCAUAAGACCACAGGAUCUGCGGAUCUAGGGGUCAAAGGUUUUUCGCUCUAAAAUGAACCCGCGCGGGAUUAGCUAGUUGGUGAGGUAACGGCUCACCAAGGCUACGAUCUCUAGCUGGUCUGAGAGGAUGAUCAGCCACACUGGAACUGAGACACGGUCCAGACUCCUACGGGAGGCAGCAGUAGGGAAUAUUGCACAAUGGAGGAAACUCUGAUGCAGCGACGCCGCGUGAGUGAUGAAGGCCUCGGUCGUAAGCUCUGUCGUAUGGAAGUAAGAAAGUAGAAUGUACA